UACGUAGGGUGCAAGCGUUGUCCGGAAUUAUUGGGCGUAAAGAGCUUGUAGACGGUUUGUCGCGUCUGCUGUGAAAUUUCGGGGCUCAACCCCGAACUUGCAGUGGGUACGGGCAGACUAGAGUGUGGUAGGGGAGACUGGAAUUCCUGGUGUAGCGGUGAAAUGCGCAGAUAUCAGGAGGAACACCGAUGGCGAAGGCAGGUCUCUGGGCCACUACUGACGCUGAGAAGCGAAAGCAUGGGGAGCGAACAGG
rnacentral:rRNA from 1 species